GGAAAAGCCAGAAGAAAAGAAGCAGAAUGGUGAUGAGCAACAAAAGCCCUCAGAGCAGAGGAAGCAGCCUAAAAUCCACUCCGUACCUUCCUCGUCAUGCAUGACUGUCUUCUAGAUGUGUUUAGCACACAGUGCUCUUAUUCAUCUCCCAACUUUUGCUUUGAGUCAUAAAGGCAACCCUAACUACAUCAUCCUGGGAUCCCCAGGUAAAGGAAGAGUUCCAAAUCCGUAGAAAGAAAAGCACUCACAGCUGGCCGACUGGGCCGUGUGAUGUCUCUGGAUUCUUCUGGUUUCACCUUGGAAGGCUCAUGGGGGAGCACGGGUGAUCCUUCGGACUUACUGUUGGCUAGAGGAGAGAACAGGAACACAGCUAUUAGAAAAGCCUGUCUCGCAUUCUGAGGGAGUGACUAAGGAAAGCCAACUCACGAGGCAAACCUAUAUGUAUCCAUGGAAAAAUAAUAAAUGCUCAGAAAACAGAGGUCGACAAUGUAGGCCUGCCACCGAGAAGUCAACAGUAAAACUGAGACUCUUCAGCAAGCACUGUACUUGUCACUACCGUUUACCAAGAGCUUACUGUGUCUUAGGCACAACACCAAACGCUUAUUCUGUCAAUCACUGCCAUUCAUCCUUGCUCCCACAUAGUACUAUGGCUCCAUGUUCUUAAUCUCCUGAUGAGUACAGACCCGAAGAAUGACACACGUAGCCGUGAAGUGAUGGACUUAGUUGGGAAUCCUUCUGAAUUUUGAAUAUCCUCUUAAUCAUUAUUUCAAAUGAGCUUCUAAAUUAAAAUUCUAGCCUUGUUUUCUUCUUUUAUCUUCU
rnacentral:lncRNA from 1 species